rnacentral:rRNA from 1 species
UCACGCAUCGCGUCUCCCCCAAACCCACCUCGAGUGGAGGGGAAGGACGAUGGCUUCCCGUGUCUCACCGGACGCGGCUGGCCUAAAAUAGGAGCCCUCGGUACCGGGAUGCCGCGNCGAUAGGUGGUGAACAUGGCCACGGCCAAGCAAGCAACCCGUCGCGCAUCGCCAUGCCAAUGCGAGCUCGAAGGACCCUUUGACGUUGCCUUGUUGCAACCAAACCGUUGCGAC